CGUUAUAGCACAGUAGGUAGUGCGACGCACUCGUAAUGCGUAGGUCACCGGUUCGAAUCCGGUUAACG
rnacentral:tRNA from 1 species